rnacentral:lncRNA from 10 species
GUACACACACAUACACACACAUGCAUGCACACAUCACUCUGCACAUACCACACCACACACACGCGCACACACAUACCACUCUGCACAGACUCUGAGCAGUCCGAAAGUCCCCGUGGACCCUUUGGUUCACACAGCCCUGGAGGGGAUGGGGAAGGACCCACCUAGCCUUGCAGAGGCAGAAUGACUCUUGCCAGUCAGGAAUUCCUACAGCGGGUUGCAUCAUUCACAUAACAUUAGCAGCCAUCAAAGGCUAAAGAGCAGCCCCCAAAAAGGAGAGGCUCAGUGGCCACAAUGGCUGUGGCCCUCACUUCCGCACUGUGCAGAGGGCCCUAGGGGCCCUGGCCUCCGGGCCUGAGCUCAAGGCCACCACGGUAGUGUCCCAUCAGAAACGUAUGACAUCCUGCUGCUCCUGCUCCGUCCUGAGGUGGCACCCCCCAGUUUUCUGGGUGUACACAUCCAUCUAAGCUUGGCUGGUGGGCGUCUGCCCAGAUGAGGGGGCCAAGGACCCAACUCUGCACAACAGCAAAUGCAUUCAGGGAGGGCCACUGGGACCUCCAGGAGCUGCUGAGAUACCACCCAAGUCCCAGGCGUGUGCAGGACUCAUGGGGCCAGAGGCAUAAUUUCACUCUUGUUGCCCAGGCUGGAGUGCAAUGGUGUGUGUGAUCUCAGCUCACUGCAACCUCCACCUCCCCGGUUCAAGCAAUUCUCCUGCCUCAACCUCCCAAGUAGCUGCUAUUACAGAGACGGGGUUACACUAUGUUGUCUAGGCUGGUCUUGAACUCCCGGCCUUAAGUGAUCCACCCACCUCGGUCUCCCAAAGUGUUGGGAUUACAGGUGUAAGCUACUGCAACAGAGAUGAGGUUUCACCAUGUUGCCCAGACUGGUCUCGAACUCCUGUGCUCAAGGGAUCUACCCACCUCGGCCUCCCAAAAUGCUGGGAUUACAUGCGGGAGCCAUCGUGCUUGGCCUGUGUAUGAUUCUUGUAUGCAUAAAUUAUUACUAUGAUGGUC